UCCGAUGUGGUGUAGUGGCUAGCAUCCGUCGCUCUCAAAGUUUCUACUGAAACCAGGACCGACGAGACCGGGGUUCAAUUCCCCGCAUCGGAA